rnacentral:tRNA from 1 species
GCGCCUGUAGCUCAGAUGGAUAGAGCUACGGACUUCUAAUCCGUGGGCCGGGGGUUCGAAUCCCUCCAGGCGCGCCA